rnacentral:rRNA from 1 species
AAGUCGUAACAAGGUUUCCGUAGGUGAACCUGCGGAAGGAUCAUUAUUGAAUAUGCCUGAUGGGUCUGUAGCUGGCUCUGUGGAGCAUGUGCACGGCCUGUCUUGACUCUAUUCAUCCACCUGUGCACCUUUUGUAGUCUUUUGGGGGCUGAUGAGCGGGUUGACUCGGUUGAAAAGCCGGAUGUGAGAACUGUGCUUGCCUUCUUGGUGGGUUCUCUUCUCUGAACCGUGAAUCUCCCUUGGGAGACUAUGUCUUAUCACAAACCAUGUAGUAUGUUGCCAGAAUGUAGUCAAUGGGCCUUUGUGCCUAUAAAACCUUAUACAACUUUCAGCAACGGAUCUCUUGGCUCUCGCAUCGAUGAAGAACGCAGCGAAAUGCGACAAGUAAUGUGAAUUGCAGAAUUCAGUGAAUCAUCGAAUCUUUGAACGCACCUUGCGCUCCUUGGUAUUCCGAGGAGCAUGCCUGUUUGAGUGUCAGUAAAUUCUCAACCCCUCCAGCUUUUGUGGUUGGCUCUGGGGCUUGGAUGUGGAGGUACUGCAGGCCUUUCUAGGUCAGCUCCUCUGAAAUGCAUUAGCGGAACUGUUUGCGAUCCGUCACAGGUGUGAUAACUAUCUACGCCAGUGGAUUGCUCUCUGUGUUCAGCUUCCAACUGUCCCUUGCAGUGGACAAAUCAUUACUGAAUGUUUGACCUCAAAUCAGGUAGGACUACCCGCUGAACUUAA